rnacentral:rRNA from 1 species
CCCUUAGAUGUUCUGGGCUGCACGCGCGCUACACUGAAGCGUUCAACGAGUAUUCACCUUGCCCGGGAGGGUUGGGUAAUCUUUUCAAAACGCUUCGUGAUGGGGAUAGAUUAUUGCAAUUAUUAAUCUUCAACGAGGAAUUCCUAGUAAGCGCAAGUCAUCAGCUUGCGUCGAUUACGUCCCUGCCCUUUGUACACACCGCCCGUCGCUCCUACCGAUUGGGUGUGCUGGUGAAAUGUUCGGAUCGGCCGUUUGUCGCGGUUUCCGCGUCAUGUGGCUGAGAAGUUCAUUAAACCCUCCCACCUAGAGGAAGGAGAAGUCGUAACA